AUUGAACGCUGGCGGCAGGCCUAACACAUGCAAGUCGAACGAGUGGCGGACGGGAGACCAAUGUAUGGGAAACUGCCUGAUGGAGGGGGAUAACUAAUGGAAACGGUAGCAAAUACCGCAUACCAUCAGAUGUGCCGAGAUGGGAAUAGCUGGUGGGUGGGGUAACGGCUCACCAAGGCCACGAUCCCUAGCGAGUCUGAGAGGAUGACCAGCCACACUGGAACUGAGACACGGUCCAGACUCCUACGGGAGGCAGCAGUGGGGAAUAUUGCACAAUGGGCGCAAGUCUGAUGCAGCCAUGCCGCGGGUAUGAAGAAGGCCUUCGGGUUGUAAAGUACUUUCAGCGGGGAGGCGUUACCCGCAGAAGAAGCACCGGCUAACUCCGUGCCAGCAGCCGCGGUAAUUC
rnacentral:rRNA from 1 species